ACUUCUUGUAAUAACACAUUGUUUACAUUACAACCAUAUCAUUCUCAAUUAGGCCUACAUAAUCACUGUUCUUUUUUAGUUUGCAGAAAAAUGCUUCUUAAAUGAUGAGCCGCUUCAGUUUUCCACAUCUGAAAAAAGUGUGGCUGCCCUAAGAAUGAAUAUAGCUGCUUGUCUCCUGCAGAACACUGAACCUGUGCCAUCUGUAUGGGGAAAGAAGCAGUGGUCAAAAAUUGACUAACUGGAUUGGCUGUGAUGUGUGCCCACGUUGGUUCCAUUGCAACUGUGUCCAACGCUCAAGGAAACACAGAAGUUACAUCUGCCCCGUUUGUAAAUCUUGAUAUGCACACUCACAUGUCGAUUUACAGCGAUCAUUUAUUUUAUGUAAUAUAAGUGUUAA